GACGAACGCUGGCGGCGCGCCUAACACAUGCAAGUCGAACGAGCGAGAGAGAGCUUGCUUUCUUGAGCGAGUGGUGAACGGGUGAGUAACGCGUGAGGAACCUGCCUCAAAGAGGGGGACAACAGUUGGAAACGACUGCUAAUACCGCAUAAGCCCACGGUGCCGCAUGGCACAGAGGGAAAAGGAGCAAUCCGCUUUGAGAUGGCCUCGCGUCCGAUUAGCUAGUUGGUGAGGUAACGGCCCACCAAGGCGACAAUCGGUAGCCGGACUGAGAGGUUGAACGGCCACAUUGGGACUGAGACACGGCCCAGACUCCUACGGGAGGCAGCAGUGGGGAAUAUUGCACAAUGGGGGAAACCCUGAUGCAGCGACGCCGCGUGGAGGAAGAAGGUCUUCGGAUUGUAAACUCCUGUUGUUGGGGAAGAUAAUGACGGUACCCAACAAGGAAGUGACGGCUAACUACGU
rnacentral:rRNA from 1 species